AUUGAACGCUGGCGGCAGGCCUAACACAUGCAAGUCGAACGGGUGGCGGACGGGUGAGUAAUGUCUGGAAAACUGCCCGAUGGAGGGGGAUAACUACUGGAAACGGUAGCUAAUACCGCAUACCAUCGGAUGUGCCCAUAUGGGAUUGGCUAGUGGGGGGGGUAACGGCUCACCUAGGCGACGAUCCCUAGCUGGUCUGAGAGGAUGACCAGCCACACUGGAACUGGGACACGGUCCAGACUCCUACGGGAGGCAGCGGUGGGGAAUAUUGAACAAUGGGCGCAAGCCUGAUGCAGCCAUGCCGGGUGUAUGAAGAGGGCCUUCGGGUUGUAAAGUACUUUCAGCGAGGAGGCGUUACUCGCAGAAGAAGCACCGGCUAACUCCGUGCCAGCAGCCGCGGUAAUA
rnacentral:rRNA from 1 species